rnacentral:rRNA from 1 species
UGGGGAAUUUUUCGCAAUGGGCGCAAGCCUGACGAAGCAACGCCGCGUGGAGGAUGAAGGCCUUCGGGUCGUAAACUCCUGUCGACCGGGACGAAAGUAGCUGGACCCAAUACGUCCGGCUAUCGACUGUACCGGUAGAGGAAGCCACGGCUAACUCUGUGCCAGCAGCCGCGGUAAUACAGAGGUGGCAAGCGUUGUUCGGAAUUACUGGGCGUAAAGGGCGCGUAGGCGGCUCUGUAUGUCCCGUGUGAAAUCCCCCGGCUCAACUGGGGAAUGGCACGGGAAACUGUAGGGCUUGAGUUCGGGAGAGGGAAGCGGAAUUCCGGGUGUAGCGGUGAAAUGCGUAGAUAUCCGGAGGAACACCGGUGGCGAAGGCGGCUUCCUGGACCGACACUGACGCUGAGGCGCGAAAGCUAGGGGAGCAAACGG